GCCCUUCCGCAGUGGACUGCGGGCCCCUUGGCGGCACUGGGCAGGCAGAGCCGGGCCGAGACGUCGCCGGGUCUCCGAGAGGGGCCAGAGCCACCUUCGGGACGUCGCCGGUCACUUUGUCCCGGGGGAGGACUAGAAGCUCAGGUGCAGUGGAGGAAAUUGACAGGAAGCUGAGACCUGUGGACCACAGACCAGGAAGGGCCUUUGCACCCACCCUGCAUUUCCAAGGAGUGGACUGAGCUUGUGGCUGCCCUUAUGUUUUCUAUUCAGUGAUGGUGGGCCUGUAAGACUGAAAAUGACACUUCCCUGAUGCUUCUGCAAGCUGGAUUCCGGUUAGGCACUGCCUAUUGGGAAGCACUGGCAGGAGACUGGAAGGAAGGAGGGGUGGGGGAGUCUCCUGCUGAUUUCCAGCCCCUGCAUGUCUCUCUCCGGAGGUCUUUAGGCACUCUGAUCCCCAGCCCCAGGAUGCCCUUUCAGGAUCCAAAUCACUAGCUGUGAAGUUGUCCUUUUCAAAGGUCCAAUACCAAUCAAGUGGUACCCUUUCGAGUAGGGUUGCCAGGACUCCUCUAUAUGACAUGUCUUGUGUUUAAUGAUUGUGCUCUGUAUUCUGUACUGACUUUGCCCCAAUGCCUUCAAUGCCCUCUAGAC